UCUAAAUUAAUGGGAUAUAUUUUUUUUGUUCUUAUCAGGCUGUGGGAAGGCGGAGAAUUACUUGACAGAAUUCUAGAUAGAGGUGGAAGAUAUCCAGAGGAUGACGCGAAAGCUAUUCUUGUACAAAUUCUAGAUGUAGUUGCAUUUUGUCAUCUUCAAGGAGUUGUUCAUCGUGAUUUAAAACCAGAGAAUUUUCUUUUUGUCUCAAAAGAUGAGGAUUCUGUGAUGAGGAUCAGUUGCAGUAAAAAAAUUAUUAAAAAAAUUAUUAAAAAAAAAUUAAACAUAUAGAUAGCGUUUAUACAAGGAUAGAGAGCACUGUGUAAUGUAGAAACAGGAUAGAUAGUGUUUUGUUCGCUCAUGGAAAACAGGAUUUGCGGCAAUGUGUAAUGUAGAUUGGUUGUCACAAUAUAGGAGAGUUGGAGCCUUAAAAGGAAUUUGUAGAUCUUGUAAAAGAAAAGUCAGCCACUGAAUAUCACAAGUAACAGAUGCCAUUGCCCUAUACUCAGCUUCACAAGAGCUUCUUGAUAUUGUGCUUUGUUUCUUGGACUUCCAAGAUAUAAGUGAAGAGCCAAGAUACACACUAUAUCCUGUGAUUGAUCUUCUAGUCUCUGAACAUGAAGCCCAAUCACUGUCAUUGUAUGCCGCCUUUAAUUGAAGAGAAGGAUCUGAAGAAAAAAAAAUAGUCCAAGACCAGGAGCAUUCUUAACAUAACGAAGAAUUCUCAAGGCUGCAUCAUAAUGAGCAAUAGAUGGUUUAGAGAUAAACUGUGCUAAGUGGUGGACAGAGAACAUGAUAUCUGGUCUUGUGUUUGUUAGAUACAUAAGUCGUCCAAGGAGACGUCUAUAAGCAAGAAUAUCAAAGAAAGGUUCCCCUAUAGUAGAUGAAAGUAUCUUGGCAUUGUCAAUAGGAGUAGGUGUUGAUUUGCAUCCUAGAAGUCCAGCUUCAACUAGCAAUUCUAAUGCAUAUUUCCUUUGAUUCAUCAAUAUUCCUUGCUUGGUUCUUGCUAUCUCAAAACCAAGAAAAAAUCUCAAUUCUCCCAAAUCUUUUAUACGAAAAGAAUUAUCAAGAGCCUAUUUAAUAACUAAAAUUUCUUGAUCAUCAUUACCAACUAAAAUGAUGUCAUCCACAUACACUAAGAGUGUUGUGAGUAUAUUUGAUAAAUAACGAAUAGUUAUGAGAAGAUUGAACAAAUCCAGUAGUAAGUAAGAAUGAUGAUAAUUUAGAAAACCACUCCCUACUUGUCUGCUUAAGACCAUACAAUGCCUUGUUAAGUUUAUAGACUUGUCUUGGCAAAAUAGAAGCUAGUCUAGGGGGAGCUAUCAUAUAGACUUAUUCCUUCAACUCUCCAUGCAAAAAAGCAUUAUUAAUGUUUAGUUGUUGAAGUUUCCAGUUAAGCACAUAAGCAAGAGACAAGAUCAAUUUUACUGUUGUUAUUUUUGCAAUAGGAGAAAAAGUAUCCAAAUAGUCAAUACCCUUAAUUUGAGUAUACCCUUUUUGCCACCAAACGAGCUUUAUGCCUUUCAAUGGUUCCAUCUGCCUUGUAUUUGAUCUUGAAUACCCAUUUGCAACCAAUAGGGAUCUUUCCUUGUGGUAAAUUUGUGACAGUCCGGGUCUGAUUUGCAUUGAGAGCCAAUAGUUCAGCUUGAAUACCCCUCUUCCAACAGUCAUGUAUAACAGCUUCAUUAUAAUCCCUUGGCUCAACAUGAGAAGACAAAGACAUGAUGUAAGAUGACAAACAUUUAUAGGAUAAAAUAGAAGAAAUUGGAUAAAAAUUAUGUGAUGAUGAAAUAGUGCUAACAUUACAAUAAUAGUCUCUUAGAUACCCAGAUGGUCUUCUCAUUCUAAUAUUAGUUUGGGGGUUAUUUGUAAUUGGUAUGGCAAUAUCAGCAGGGUUAUCUUCAUUGGAUGAAACAACCAUGAGUGUGUUUGGAUAUUGAGGAGAAGAAGAUAUAUUAGUCCCAUCAUCAGUGGGAUGAUGAUUACAAGUGAUUGGUUCAAGGUCAAAAUUUGAAGAAUGGCUCUGUUCUUGGGGAAUGCUGUUAACUUGAUCAUUUUUCAUUUUCAAAUCAGAAUAAGGAAACAUGAGUUCAUGAAAUAUUUCAUUUCUUGAUACAAGCAAUUCUCUAGUUUGAACAUUUAACAAAACAAAUCCCUUAGUCCAUGUCUUGAAACCAAGAAAAACACACAAGCAUGCUCUUGGAUCAAAUUUUGUUUCUAUUAACAAGAGAGCUACUUGCAAAACACAAUGAACCAAAAACUUUUAACUGAGAAAAAUCGGGUUCAGUUUUGUAAAGCAUUUUAUGUGGGGAAGAAUUCUUUAAAACUGGAGUAGGUAACAUGUUGAUGAUGUGGGAAACAUGGAUAACAACAUAUGACCAAUAUAUUUUUGGAAAAUUAGAUUAAAGCAUUAGAGAUCUGGCUACAUUCAAUAAAUGACCAUGUUUCCUCUCCAUAAUGCCAUUUUGUUCAGGGGUAUAAGCAUAAGAAGUGUGAUGAAUUAUUCCCUUAGAAGCAUAAAAAUCAUUCAUACAAAACUCAGUUCCAUUAUCACUUCUUAUGACUUUUAUAACUGAAUCAAAUUGUGUUUUAAUCAAUGAAACAAAAUUUUGUAGAAUUUUUUGUUUCAGAUUUUAGCUUUAAAAAGAAAGAUAUCCAAGUAUAUCGUGAAUGGUCAUCAACAAUGGUCAAGAAGUACUUGUGUCCAUGAAUAGAUGGAAUGGAGUAAGGUCCCCAUAAAUCAACAUGAAUAAGAUCAAAAUAUUUAUUUGAAACAAAAUUGCUAACAGGGAAAGAAAGUUUUCUUUGUUUAGCCAAAUGGAAAAUGUCACAAACAUAAGAUUUUUCAUGGUUCACAUGAGGGAACUUUCCCUUUAUCACAUCAAGACAUUUAUUUGAAACAUGACCAAGACGAAAAUGCCAAAGAGUGGAACCAUCAAUUGAAGCCAAGUUAACAGUAGUGGAUGUAUGGAUGGAUUAUGAGUAUAUGGUAACAAUUGAUGAGAAGAGACCCUGAGUAUGCAAAGGCUAUCAAGAAUGUUAGCUAUACCAAUCGUCUUUAAGGUAAUCUUGUCCUGGAUUUGACAAUGAGUAGAAUCAAAUGUGAGAAUAAAGGAAAGCUAGCAGUUAAUUUUCCAAUAGAUAGUAAAUUAAAACUAUAACUAGGAAUGUAUAAGACAUUAUGAAGAACAUGAUCUAAGGUCAAAAACACACUACUAGAAUAAUUAGCAACAACCUUGUUUCCAUUUGGUAAUGUGACAUGAAUGGGUUUAAUUUUAUGAUAAGAGGUAAAAUGAGACAAACAGUAACAAAUGUGAUCAAUAGCACCACUAUCCAAAACCCAAGAACUAAAAGAAGAAGAGGUAUUACCAAUUUGUCCAGAAUGAUCAGAAGCUCCAGGUGUGGCCGAGACUUGGUUUGACACAUGACUAUUGUUAGAAAUUGUGAUUGCUGCAAGAGUGCUAUUAAGCCUUGAUAUUGUUUCUCAGUGAAACCAAAUUGUUGAUGUCCCAAAUGUUCCUUCAGCAGUCCAGAUUCCUUUCGAUCUACAUCAUUAUUGUGGAAUGAAGCAUUCACAUACACCUGACUCUUAUUUUGAUUCUAUUUUGUAAAUUUAAAAUGAGGUGAAGAUCCAUGUUUCUUGUAGCAUGUAUCCAUUGUAUGUUCUGAUUUUCCACAAUGACUGCAAAUUAUGUUGCUAUUGCCUUUACCACUAUUUCUUCUGCCUCCUUUACCAGCAACAACCAUCAUCUUAGACUGCUCAACUGUGUCACCAAACAUUUGCCUCUUUUGUUGAACCACCAAAGAAAAAACACGGUUGAGAGGUGGUAAUGGGUCUAAGAGCGUGAUUUGGGAUUUUACAAUAGAGUAGCUUUCAUUCAUCCCUCUAAAAAAUUUGAUCACCUGAUCCUGAACCUUAUACUUGUUAACAUUGA